GAUGAACGCUGGCGGCGUGCCUAAUACAUGCAAGUCGAGCGAACAGACGAGGAGCUUGCUCCUCUGACGUUAGCGGCGGACGGGUGAGUAACACGUGGAUAACCUACCUAUAAGACUGGGAUAACUUCGGGAAACCGGAGCUAAUACCGGAUAAUAUAUUGAACCGCAUGGUUCAAUAGUGAAAGACGGUUUUGCUGUCACUUAUAGAUGGAUCCGCGCCGCAUUAGCUAGUUGGUAAGGUAACGGCUUACCAAGGCAACGAUGCGUAGCCGACCUGAGAGGGUGAUCGGCCACACUGGAACUUAGACACGGUCCAGACUCCUACGGGAGGCAGCAGUAGGGAAUCUUCCGCAAUGGGCGAAAGCCUGACGGAGCAACGCCGCGUGAGUGAUGAAGGUCUUCGGAUCGUAAAACUCUGUUAUUAGGGAAGAACAAAUGUGUAAGUAACUAUACACGUCUUGACGGUACCUAAUCAGAAAGCCACGGCUAACUACGUG
rnacentral:rRNA from 1 species